rnacentral:lncRNA from 1 species
AGUCAUUUGGUGGGGUUUUAGUGAAAUCCAAUCUCUCGAACUAUGCAAUACACCACCUACUCCAUUUCAGAAAAAAUGUCGUACGAACCUGAAUUGUCCAAUAUCUUGGACCAAUCGAUAUCGGAUUGAGCCCAAAACAUGGAGAACCUCAUAAUAUGAUGGGAGGAGUCACUUGGUGGGUUUUCAGUAAAAUCCAAUUUCUAGAACUAUGC